rnacentral:rRNA from 1 species
AACGAACGCUGGCGGCGCGCCUAAUACAUGCAAGUCGAACGAGAAGGUGUAGCAAUACACUUGUACAGUGGCGAACGGGUGAGGAAUGCAUGGGCAACCUACCCUCGAGUGGGGAACAACCAGCCGAAAGGUUGGCUAAUACCGCGUACGCUUCCGGGUCUCCGGAUCCGGAAGGAAAGUCACACCGUGGGUGUGACGCUCAAGGAUGGGCUCAUGUCCUAUCAGCUUGNGGUGAGGUAACGGCUCACCAAGGCAACGACGGGUAGCUGGUCUGAGAGGACGAUCAGCCACACUGGCACUGCGACACGGGCCAGACUCCUACGGGAGGCAGCAGUAAGGAAUAUUGCGCAAUGGGCAAAGCCUGACGCAGCGACGCCGCGUGGGGGAUGAAGGUCUUCGGAUUGUAAACCCCUUUUAGGAGGGAAAUGGACGAGCAAUCGUCCGGAUGGUACCUCCAG